CAAGCAGAUCGGGUAAUCGCUCCGGUUUUCCGGAGAGGAAAGUCCGGGCACCACAGGGCAGGAUGCUUCCUAACGGGAAGUCCCGGUGACGGGCAGGAAAGUGCCACAGAAAAGACACAGCCCCGGGAAUCCCGGGGUAAAGGUGAAAUGGCGGGGUAAGAGCCCACCAGUGUCCGGGUGACCGGGCAGCUCGGCAAACCCCAUCCGGUGCAAGGCCAAAUAGGGAGGCGUUUGAGGACGGCCCGUCCGAAGCCUCCGGGUCAGGUCGCUUGACCCCGGCGGUGACGUCGGGGCUAGAUGAAUGAUUACCGUCCCGUCGCAGACGGGAUACAGAACCCGGCUUAUAGGUCUGCUUGGGAC
rnacentral:RNase_P_RNA from 1 species